UGCGUAGGCGGACUAAUAAGUCAGUGGUGAAAUCUCUCGGCUCAACCGGGAAACUGCCAUUGAUACUGUUAGUCUUGAGUUCGGUUGAGGUAGGUGGAAUGUGUAAUGUAGCGGUGAAAUGCUUAGAUAUUACACAGAACACCAAUUGCGUAGGCAGCUUACUAGACCGACACUGACGCUGAGGCACGAAAGCGUGGGUAGCGAACAGGAUUAGAUACCCUGGUAGUCC
rnacentral:rRNA from 1 species